GACGAACGCUGGCGGCGUGCCUAAUACAUGCAAGUCGAGCGAAUCAAUAGGAGCUUGCUCCUGUUGGUUAGCGGCGGACGGGUGAGUAACACGUGGGCAACCUGCCUGUAAGACUGGGAUAACGCCGGGAAACCGGUGCUAAUACCGGAUAAUCCUUUUCCUCUCAUGAGGAAAAGCUGAAAGUCGGUUUCGGCUGACACUUACAGAUGGGCCCGCGGCGCAUUAGCUAGUUGGUGAGGUAACGGCUCACCAAGGCGACGAUGCGUAGCCGACCUGAGAGGGUGAUCGGCCACACUGGGACUGAGACACGGCCCAGACUCCUACGGGAGGCAGCAGUAGGGAAUCUUCCACAAUGGACGAAAGUCUGAUGGAGCAACGCCGCGUGAGCGAUGAAGGCCUUCGGGUCGUAAAGCUCUGUCGUUAGGGAAGAACAAGUACCGGAGUAACUGCCGGUACCUUGACGGUACCUAACCAGAAAGCCACGGCUAACUACGUGCCAGCCGCCGCGGUAACAC
rnacentral:rRNA from 1 species